UGAAAAAAUGAUUGAUAAAAGCUGAAAAACAAUUAAUCAAAUAAUAAUUGUUAUAAAAUCUGAAAAAAAGAUUAAUAAAAGUUGAAAAAUAUAUUAAUUAUAUAAAAAUAAUUAUAAAAUCUGAAAAUACAAAAAUUAAUUAAUUAUUGAGCCCGCAAAUCUUGUGUAAAUUAAACCGCACUCAUUUGUUAAUCGCACUGGAGAUAUAUAGCACAUAUUGGAUUUUAUACAGUUUUUGCACUGCACAUAUGUGCGGCAUAUUUGUUUUUGAAUAAUUUUACAACCGCGCAGGAAUCUUUAAACACAUUUAUUUUCACAAAUUUGUUGCACUACGCAGGCCACUUUACAAUUUAACUUAACUUACAAUUUUUAUGUGCUGCUCCUGAGUUAAAUGACCAAAACUGCGAAUGUUGCAACGGCUGAAUACUAAAAUUCAUUAAAACAAUCAAUUCAUUCGACUUACUUUUUUGUUUUAUGAGCGCAAAUUACGUUUUUUCAAUUUUUUUAUUUCCCAUUUUGUUUCUUUAGAAAAUAAUUUAUUUUGUUUUAUAUAUAAAGAAAGUGCGAUGGAAAAGAUUCGAAAAAGUAAGUACCCGAUGUGUAAUGUAUUUGUUAUGUGCUUAUAAUUACAAAUAAUAUAUUUGCAGGCAAACUAAUAACAAGGAGCUACAUAUAUAAUAUGAAAUUCAGAUUUCAUAUGUAUAUGUAUAUUAAAAUCAUUUUUCACACUCUAUUCAAAUUAAUGUGGCGCGAGAAGAAGAGUGAACUUCUUCUUGGUCUUAGUACAUUCAUCGCUUGUUGUUGUCGCUGGAAAUCGGCAUACUAAUCACUUCUACAAUCUUAAACACAGUAUUUGUUCGUUAUUCGAGACGCUAAAAGAAGCGGAGUUCUUCGUCUGCAAUCAGGAGGAGUAGCUAGAUCAAUAUGUAUAAUAUGUGUGAUAGUAUUGGUAUUUACUGUUAUGAUAUUGUUGGCUGAAAUGCGAUCGUGCUGAGUCUUUUAGACAUUUAAAUCAACAACAAUUACAAAUCGGAAUUAUACCCAAUGGCAUUUUCUUAUACAUUUAUGAAGCAUCACAAAAACAAGCGGAGUUUUUCAACUGUCGACCAUAAGCUUGACGAUUUAAUGCACGCUUGAAUUUCAUCUGCUGGUGUCCCCCUCUGAAUCACUGGGAGGGUUUGACGGAAAUCACCAGCCAAUAAAACUACCAUGCCUCCCAUUAUAUCUGUACUAUCUCGCAAGUCCUGGAGGGUCCGGUUUAAAGCUUCUAUAGCCUUCUUGUGAGACAUUGUACUUUCAUCCUACACUAAAAGAUUGCAUUCUCGCAGCAUUCUACCUCGUGAACUAUUUUUACUAAAAUUACAGAUGGGCGAAUCUUCCUGUGCCAAAUUCAAUGGUAAUUUUAAAACGGAAUGUGCCUUACGACCGCCGUUUAAUAGCGUUGCGGCAAUACCUGACGAAGCUACGGCAACUGCUAUUUUUUGGUCUUUUCUGACAGACAUUAAUAAUAAGUUAAGUAAAAACGUUUUUCCAGUUCCUCCUGGUGCAUCGAGAAAGAAGAGUCCACCACUACCGGAGUCUAUUUUACGUAAAACUUGAUGGAAAACAUGAUUUUGCUCUGGAAGUAAUUGAGGAACUAAUUCUGUCACUUGAUGUUGCAGUACUAUGAAAUCAUAAUCUAGCUCUCGUGCAAUUCCAUUAUCAAAAUCAUCUAUAUUGUCUCGUCGAGGGCUCGACAUUCCAAAAUCAUCUAAUUUUUUUUUAAUAUAAAGUACCCUAUGUUGCUUCUAGUACCUUCAAGAGUAUAUGUACAAUGUUUAAUGAUGAUCGGUUCAGUAGUUUUUGCGUGAAAGCGUAACAAACAAACUUACAUUCGCAUUUAUAAUAUUAGUAGGGAUUAUACUAUGGAUAAGAAGUUUAAAUGCAAUAUUAUUUUUAAUAGGGACUCGGCUAACAAAAGUUAUUAACACAAAACAAAACAAAUUUGAAAUAAAGGUGAAAUUUAUGCAAUCACAUCCAAAUUUUGCCAAAGGCUUAAAGAUUUUCUUGUGAGUUCAUAAGCUAUACAUUGCAAGACAUAAUUAAAGACUUCCUUGGAAAGUCUAAAGUAGUGUAUGAAGCUAUAAUCCCAAAUACAAACAGUUUAUAACCGAACAUAAUGCAUAUGUACAUAACAAAUAACCAAUUUGGCGAUAAUUCCAUAAUAUUAGAUUUAUUUCUGAAAGAUCUUCUCGCAAUCCUUUCCUCAAUAAUUUCCUAGUUCUCCACCUAAAAUGCAACGGAAUCCAUAUUUUUCAAAUAAAUUUAAACUUAUUUUAUUUGAUUUUGACAUUUAACCAAAGAACGUAUAAUAAUAAGAAGGAGCAAAUGUUAGCAGUGCUAAAACGGUCUUAGACAUUAGGGAACAUCGAAAAAAUUUCGAACACUAUAAAGGAACACACCAUUCAAAAGGGGAAGCAAGCCAAUAUUUACCACUUUAUAAGGGAGCUGAACAAUUGCGUGCACCACGAUAUAAAGGAACAUGAGAACAGAACAUGUUCCUUCAUAAAGUGGUGCAAAAAUUGCGUAGAGAAGUAUAUAUCGCUUGUGUUGUAACUAUAUCACAAUAAAUGCGUUGGUUUUAAAGUUGACUUUGGUGCUGUGUGCUUAGCAACCCAACAUUUUGCAACUCCAAAUAUUUUCUUCGAGUUCAAAUCCUGCAUGAAAUAUGAAUCUAUUUUUUGACUUUGUUUUUUUUUUUUGUAUAUUUUAUUUUAUUGCCAAUUAAUUAUUAUUCAUUUGAUUACUGACAGUUUAAUUUUAAAGUAAAAUAAAAAAAACAUAAAAAAUAAAAAUAAAAUUUUAGAAUUUCGGGUGGGAUUUGAACUUUGGCAAAACAUUUCAAGUUGCAACAUAAAAUCGUCCUAAACAAGCAGGCCCACUGAUCAAUUUACAACUUAUUAUACGUUCUUUGGAUAUACCUUCUGUAAUUAAGUUUUCAGAAAUUUUAUUAUAUGCGGAUGAUGUAAAACUUUUUAAAUCA